GCGCACCCGGGGCAGUGAACUACAACUCCCGCGAGGCAGCGCGGCGGCAGCGGCCGUUUCUUUGGGCGCCAGCGGUAUGAGCCUUGGGGUUGGCGGGUCAUGGCUGUUCCCCUUUUGCAGCUGCCCGUUUUGCUGUAGAGUUGCUUUCCUGAGGCUCUGCUCCUUGGCGCGCGUCUGCCCUUGGGACGGGGACCGUGGCCUUAGGCAGAGUAGGGUCUAACCUCGGGAAAAAACAAAGCAAGAUGAUCCGCUGUGGGAUUUGCUCUGGCGUGCUGGGGGGGCCCAGCUUAUUUUUUUUACUUUACCCAGGUGCUGCUUUUCCUCCUCCAGCCCUAAUCGAGUGAUUUGCAACCUGGGCAAUUUAGCAAGCAAGCCCAAAACAACUUGGUAAAAACAGGAAGGAUUCCAUCUUGGAGAUAAAAUUGCAUUUGAAAACCCAAUUCCUUAAAAAACAGGUAGCUGGAUGUAGAGGCGCAAUUAGAUUCACGUCUGGAUGUUCGACAGCCCUUCACAGGUGGUGUUCGUGUUUCCUGUUGCAGCCUAUCAGAAGUGAAUAAUUUGAUGCUCCAGUUGUCCACAGUUUGGCCAGGAACAGCUCUUUCAAGCCAACGCCUGUGUGUUUUUGACAUGACCCAGUAGCUUUUGCUAGCUUCUUUGCUUUCUAGUCUGAGACGCUGCAAAGUUCACUCUCUACAUUUUCUGACCCAGUCCUAGAAUUGACUGUUUCUCUGAGCCCUAGUUCUUUUUAGUGGGAAGUAUGUUUUGGAGACUGAUAGAAUCUGGAUCUGAGGAUCACCUUUCGAAUAAGCCCACCCACCAUCACAGAGAGACCUCGGUGUCAUCUUACCUGGGCUACAAGCAUUCUCCAGAGGACACAUCAGCAAGCCACAAGCCCACCUUUUCCAACC